rnacentral:rRNA from 1 species
AUUGAACGCUGGCGGAAUGCUUUACACAUGCAAGUCGAACGGCAGCACGGGGGCAACCCUGGUGGCGAGUGGCGAACGGGUGAGUAAUACAUCGGAACGUGCCCAGUCGUGGGGGAUAACGUAGCGAAAGGUACGCUAAUACAGCAUACGAUCUCAGGAUGAAAGAGGGGGACCGUAAGGCCUCGCGCGAUUGGAGCGGCAGAUGACAGAUUCGGUAGUUGGUGAGGUAAAGGCUCACCAAGACUGCGAUCUGUAGCUGGUCUGAGAGGACGACCAGCCACACGGGGACUUAGACACGGCCCAGACUCCUACGGGAGGCAGCAGUGGGGAAUUUUGGACAAUGGGCGCAAGCCUGAUCCAGCCAUUCCGCGUGCAGGACGAAGGCCUUCGGGUUGUAAACUGCUUUUGUACGGAACGAAAAGCCUUGGGCUAAUACCCCGAGGUCAUGACGGUACCGUAAGAAUAAGCACCGGCUAACUACGUGCCAGCCGCCGCCGUAA